UGGGGAAUAUUGCACAAUGGGCGCAAGCCUGAUGCAGCAACGCCGCGUGAACGAUGAAGGUCUUCGGAUCGUAAAGUUCUGUUGCAGGGGAAGAUAAUGACGGUACCCUGUGAGGAAGCCCCGGCUAACUACGUGCCAGCAGCCGCGGUAAUACGUAGGGGGCUAGCGUUAUCCGGAUUUACUGGGCGUAAAGGGUGCGUAGGUGGUCCUUCAAGUCGGUGGUUAAAGGCUACGGCUCAACCGUAGUAAGCCGCCGAAACUGGAGGACUUGAGUGCAGGAGAGAAAAGUGGAAUUCCUAGUGUAGCGGUGAAAUGCGUAGAGAUUAGGAGGAACACCGGUGGCGAAAGCGGCUUUUUGGCCUGCAACUGACACUGAGGCGCGAAAGCGUGGGGAGCAAACAGG
rnacentral:rRNA from 1 species